rnacentral:rRNA from 1 species
GGGUCAGUAGGUUGGUCGUGCCACCGGUACGUACUGGUCUCACUGAUUCCUCCUUCCUGAAGAACCGUAACGCCAUUAAUUUGGUGUUGCGGGGAAACAGGACUGUUACUUUGAAAAAAUUAGAGUGUUUAAAGCAAGCUAACGCUUGAAUACAUUAGCAUAGAAUAAUGAAAUAGGACGAUCGAUCCUAUUUUGUUGGUUUCUAGGAUUGACGUA